AACGAACGCUGGCGGCAUGCCUAACACAUGCAAGUCGAACGAGACCUUCGGGUCUAGUGGCGCACGGGUGCGUAACGCGUGGGAACCUGCCCUUAGGUUCGGAAUAACUCCCCGAAAGGGGUGCUAAUACCGGAUAAUGUCUUCGGACCAAAGAUUUAUCGCCUUUGGAUGGGCCCGCGUUGGAUUAGCUAGUUGGUAGGGUAAAAGCCUACCAAGGCGACGAUCCAUAGCUGGUCUGAGAGGAUGAUCAGCCACACUGGGACUGAGACACGGCCCAGACUCCUACGGGAGGCAGCAGUGGGGAAUAUUGGACAAUGGGCGAAAGCCUGAUCCAGCAAUGCCGCGUGAGUGAUGAAGGCCUGAGGGUUGUAAAGCUCUUUUACCCGGGAUGAUAAUGACAGUACCGGGAGAAUAAGCGCCGGCUAACUCCGUG
rnacentral:rRNA from 1 species